UACGUAGGGGGCAAGCGUUAUCCGGAUUUACUGGGUGUAAAGGGUGCGUAGGCGGCUUGGUAAGUCAGAUGUGGAAUCCAUGGGCUCAACCCAUGAACCGCAUUUGAAACUAUCGAGCUUGAGUGAAGUAGAGGCAGGCGGAAUUCCCUGUGUAGCGGUGAAAUGCGUAGAGAUAGGGAGGAACACCAGUGGCGAAGGCGGCCUGCUGGGCUUUAACUGACGCUGAGGCACGAAAGCGUGGGUAGCAAAC
rnacentral:rRNA from 1 species